rnacentral:rRNA from 1 species
AUUGAACGCUGGCGGCAGGCCUAACACAUGCAAGUCGAGCGAGCGGCGGACGGGUGAGUAAUGUAUGGGGAUCUGCCCGAUAGAGGGGGAUAACUACUGGAAACGGUAGCUAAUACCGCAUACCAUCAGAUGUGCCCAGAUGGGAUUAGCUAGUAGGUGGGGUAAUGGCUCACCUAGGCGCCGAUCCCUAGCUGGUCUGAGAGGAUGACCAGCCACACGGGAACUGAGACACGGGCAAGACUCCUACGGGAGGCAGCAGGGGGGAAGAUUGCACAAUGGGCGAAAGCCUGAUGCAGCCAUGCCGCGUGUGUGAAGAAGGCCUGCGGGUUGUAAAGCACUUUCAGCGAGGAGGCGUUACUCGCAGAAGAAGCACCGGCUAACUCCGUGCCAGCAGCCGCGGUAAUUC